UCUCUCCAGGCCCAUACGUUAUACUCUUUACACUAACUAUAUAGAAAGAGGAGAAGGCACAGUAAAUGCAUUCCAUGUACACCUCAGCCCAGACUCUAUGCUUGAUCUGUAUUGUGAAUGAGAAUACAUGA